rnacentral:misc_RNA from 1 species
GCAUCUGCUACACAUCAAGCAAUCUGGUUAAGAAAGAUCUUGUUGGAAUUGAAUUUGUUGACAAAAGAACUAACAGUGAUCUACGUGGACAAUAAAUCAGCCAUUGCGAUGGCUGAAAAUCUGGGGCAGCAUGGAAGAACAAAGCAUAUCAACAUAAGGUUUCAUGCUUUAAGAGAUGCCGAGAAGAAUGGUGAAGUUAAGUUGGUGCAUUGCAUCAGUGAAGAUCAGCAGGCCGAUAUUCUGACCAAGGCUCUUUCGACUAAGAAGUUUGAGUUUCAAAGGUUGAUGCAAGGAGUUUCAAAUAAAAAUCUUAAGGAGGAGUGUUAGAAAAUUAAGAUUUAUCUAGAAACUCCUAGAUUGGAGAUAUUUUAUAUUAGAUGUGUUAGAAAAGUAAUGUCUAGAAACUCCUAGAUUGGAGAUAUUUUAUAUUAGAUGUGUUAGAAAAGUAAUG